AUACUGUUGUUUUUCUUCAGGUUGCAUAAAUCUUUUGCCUUUUACUAAAGAUUUCCAUGGAGAGGAACAACUCUGAGUUUUUAACUGAUUUCUUGAGGCUUUGCUUUGGCAGGGUU